UCUCCUGUAGCUCAGUGAUAGAGCGUCCGACCGGUGUGCCGAGGGUCAUAGGUUCGACUCCUGUUGGGAGAA